AUUGAACGCUGGCGGCAGGCCUAACACAUGCAAGUCGAGCGAGCGGCGGACGGGUGAGUAAUGUAUGGGGAUCUGCCUGAUGGAGGGGGAUAACUACUGGAAACGGUAGCUAAUACCGCAUACCAUCAGAUGGGCCCAUAUGGGAUUAGCUUGUAGGUGGGGUAACGGCUCACCUAGGCGACGAUCCCUAGCUGGUCUGAGAGGAUGAGCCGCCACACUGGGACUGAGACACGGCCCAGACUCCUACGGGAGGCAGCAGUGGGGAAUAGUGCACAAUGGGCGAAAGCCUGAUGCAGCCAUGCCGCGUGUAUGAAGAAGGCCUUCGGGUUGUAAAGUACUGUCAGUGGGGAGGCGGUACCUACAGAAGAAGCACCGGCUAACUCCGUGCCAGCAGCCGCGGUAAUUC
rnacentral:rRNA from 1 species